rnacentral:rRNA from 1 species
UACGGAGGAUCCAAGCGUUAUCCGGAAUCAUUGGGUUUAAAGGGUCCGUAGGCGGCUUUAUAAGUCAGUGGUGAAAUCUGGCGGCUCAACCGUCAAAUUGCCAUUGAUACUGUAGGGCUUGAAUGUUUGUGAAGUAACUAGAAUAUGUAGUGUAGCGGUGAAAUGCUUAGAUAUUACAUGGAAUACCCAUUGCGAAGGCAGGUUACUAACAAAUGAUUGACGCUGAUGGACGAAAGCGUGGGGAGCGAACAGG